GACGAACGCUGGCGGCGUGCUUAACACAUGCAAGUCGAACGGAAAGGCCUGCUUUCCCUUGUGGAUUGCGGGUACUCGAGUGGCGAACGGGGGAGUAACACGUGAGUGAUCUGCCCCCAACUUGGGGAUAAGCCUGGGAAACUGGGUCAAAUUCCCGAUACUACUGCAGGGUGGUGCCUGUGGUGGAAAACGAUUUUCUAGUGGUUGGUGAUGAGCUCGCGGCCUAUCAGCUUGUUGCUGGGGCAACGGACUACCAAGGCGGCGACCGGUAGCCGGCCUGUGACGGUCGACAUGCGCAUUGGGACGGGGCUACGGCCCAGACGGCUGCGGGAGGCAGCAGUGAGGAAGAGUUCACAAUAGUCGGAAGCCAGAUGCAGCGACGCCGCGGGGGAGAUGGCGGCGUUCGGGUGGUAAACUCCUUUGGACCGAGAGGAAGCCACCUGGUUGGAAGGGUGGUGACGGUAGUGGUAGAAGAAGCACCGGCUAACUACGUG
rnacentral:rRNA from 1 species